AGCAGCCGCGGUAAUUCCAGCUCCAAUAGCGUAUAUUAAAGUUGUUGCAGUUAAAAAGCUCGUAGUUGAAUUUCGGGAUCAAAUUGUCGGUCGUGCCUCGGUACGCACUGGUAUUAUUGGUUCCUACCUUCUGAAGAACCGCGAUGUCAUUAAUUUGGUGUCGUGGGGAAUCAGGACUGUUACUUUGAAAAAAAUUAGAGUGUUUAAAGCAGGCUUACGCUUGAAUACAUUAGCAUGGAAUAAUGAAAUAGGACGUUUGAUUCUAUUUUUGUUGGUUUCUAGGAUUGACGUAAUGAUUAAUAGGGAUAGUUGGGGGGCAUUAGUAUUCAAUUGUCAGAGGUGAAAUUCUUGGAUUUAUUGAAGACUAACUACUGCGAAAGCAUUUGCCAAGGAUGUCUUCAUUAAUCAAGAACGAAAGUUAGGGGAUCGAAGACGAUCAGAUACCGUCGUAGUCUUAACCAUAAACUAUGCCGACUAGGGAUCGGAUGAUGUUAAUUUUUUUAAUGACUCAUUCGGCGCC
rnacentral:rRNA from 1 species